UGGUCUCAAACUCGGUAAUCUGCCUGCCUCAGUCUCCCAAAGUGCUGGGAUUAUAGAUGUAAGCCACUGAGCCUGGCAAGAAAGCACUUUCAAAGCAGUAAAAUGGACACACUGGUGGUUGACAAUAAUAAGAACUUUUUGAAGGCAAUGUCAUUCCUGCCUCUCCAGACCUCAGACAGCUGUUACUCACUGUUUAUCCUUCAUCACGCCAUAGGCUACACUCCUAACACCAGCCAGCUGGCGAAUAUAUGACCUGUUUGUACAUGACAACCAUGACCAUCAUUACUCCAGAAAAGAAAACAAUUAAGCCACACAAUCAGCAAUACCUAAAGUGAGUCAACUGAAUUUCUGUGAGUCUGACUCUGACAACCUAUGGGACUUAU